UGAGCAAUCUGCCCUUCUCUUCGGAAUAAGCGUUGGAAACGACGUCUAAUGCCGAAUACGACCUCCUUUCGCAUGAUCGGAGGUGGAAAGCUCCGGCGGAGAAGGAUGAGCUCGCGGCCUAUCAGCUAGUUGGUGUGGGUAAUGGCCCACCAAGGCGACGACGGGUAGCCGGCCUGAGAGGGUGACCGGCCACACUGGGACUGAGACACGGCUCAGACUCCUACGAGAGG
rnacentral:rRNA from 1 species